rnacentral:piRNA from 1 species
UUCCAAAUGUUCCCAAAGGAUAAAUAGUUC